rnacentral:rRNA from 1 species
AGGACGAACGCUGGCGGCGUGCCUAACACAUGCAAGUCGAACGCGCUCCAUUCGGUAGCAAUACUGAUGAAGAGCGAGUGGCGAACGGGUGAGUAGCACGUGAGCAACCUGCCCCGAAGACUGGGACAACACCGGGAAACCGGUGCUAAUACCGGAUAUCCCUAUCGGAUCGCAUGAUCCAAUAAGGAAAUGUUUUUUCGCUUCGGGAGGGGCUCGCGGCCUAUCAGCUUGUUGGUGGGGUAAUGGCCCACCAAGGCAUCGACGGGUAGCUGGUCUGAGAGGACGAUCAGCCACACUGGGACUGAGACACGGCCCAGACUCCUACGGGAGGCAGCAGUGGGGAAUCUUGCGCAAUGGGCGAAAGCCUGACGCAGCAACGCCGCGUGGAGGACGAAGGCUUUCUGAGUUGUAAACUCCUUUCAGCAGGGACGAUUGUGACGGUACCUGCAGAAGAAGCACCGGCCAACUACGUGCCAGCAGCCGCGGUAA